rnacentral:lncRNA from 1 species
GGAAAUGCUAUCAAGGAAAGCAACAGUCCCAAAAUUUUAUUGGGACUGCUAAUUAUUAGCACACCAUUAUCUGCCUUCAAUGUCUUAUACAUGCUGCACAAUACUACAAUACUGUAUUUGAUCAAGGAAAUUAUCAGCACAAACGCUACAGACUAUUCAUCAGGAAAGGCAAAGCUAUAUCCUUCCAAAUCUUAUCAUAUCUAGCAAAAACAAAUGUACUGGAGUUGCAUAGAGUGCAUGGAGUUGUUAUCAAGUUGAUCGCGUACACCCUAAGAUUUAUAAGCACGAAGGAAACUAUGCAAGUUGGACAGUCAGGUUUUGCACUAAAUUAGGACUUGCACUAAAGAAUGGAACAACCUCCAAGCAGAUUAACUGCUGGAUGUACACGUAUGGAAUUCAGGAGCAGGUAUCUGUGUAUCUACAGGACUAAGAUCUGGAAGGUAGACUUCACUCUUGAAGACUUCUGAGCUCAAACCAAUGGUGCACCAUUAGUCAUGCUGUUGAAAUACCAUUAAAGCGGACAGGAAAUGUGACCCAGGGUGUCACCGCUAAGUCACCAGCUGCUGCGCAGGCUCCCAGCUCAGAGGCAUCACCCCUUGUCAGGCAGCGCGGGGCUCCCCUCACCUCCCACGGCUCGGUGCCUGGAGCUGGGCAGCACAGUGACUCUUAUCCUUGGGUCAAAUCUGCACCGAGACUUGAUGGAAGAGGAGGAAGAAAGCAGAGGUGGCAGCAGUGGCUUUCCUCGCCUCUGUGCUUCUCCCUUCUCUGUCAUCCCCUUCCCCUGCUGACUUCAUACAGCCACUGUCCCCGGAGCAAGCUGCCUUCCUCCCACAGCUAUCAAAUUUUCCCUCCAACUCCCUUCCCUUGCCACGCAAAGUUUCACUGCUUCCUCCAGCCUCACACGCAACCUCCCCUGCCAGAUCCAUGCAGGCCCUCCCAUUCAGGCCCUGUUGCCCAGGGCCCUGCUGAACUGGCAGCCUGCUCCCCUCGUCCUGCAGCACCCAAUAGCCUCUAAAAGCCUCGCACUACUCAGCAGGGGAUGGAUACCUUGCCGGAAUACGGCACAAGGUAACUACUGGUCGAGGUGGUUAUUCCGGACAGUCUGGAAGGUUCUUUGCCUAUCUCACGUAUGGGAGGUCACAACAGAGGAGAUGGCAGUGAGGAGAGGAUAUUGAGGCCAUCUCUGUAACACAGCUAACCCGCUUUCCAUCUUUUGUGACUAAACUGCCAGGAAAUGUAACUGGAAUUAGAGCUCAAAGGUGAUUUACGGUUUUAUAUAAAAUCUCUUUUCUUUAGGCAAAUGAGUGUCAUCCUCUCUUUGUGAAGACCUUUGGAAAUCAACUAUGAUUUAGUAAGAUCACGAUCUUGAAAAUCUAGUCACACGAGAUCAGGAUGCUGCAGAGCUGAAGGCAUGCACGCCUGCGGGCUGACGCCACGCUGGCAUACAGCCGCACGGAGACCGCGCUGAAAUUUGGUAACAGAAACCAAGGGAGAGUCAGGUGUACAGCCGAAUUUUCAUGAAGGUAUGCUGAUAAUUAAAAAAAAAACUGGCUUUAGGCACACCUUGAGACACGCCAUAUGAUGGAGGCUGUGAAGUUUAUGUAUUUUGAUCCAUACGUGUUUUACGUGAUGGGACGCAACCACUUGCUCGUAUCUAAGUGUGCACCAAGCAUGAAAGACAAAUAAACGCGAAGCUUCCCCAUCAGCCUUCCCCUACCCACGCUUUCCAAGCGUAACCGCAGCUCCCUCUAGGGCCUUCCAACAGAGCCUGUAGGGGAAGGGUCAACAGGUCCCCGGUUUGUGAGGGAGGGAGAGACCCCGAAACUUCGCCUGGCGCCUGUGCGGACAGGUGAGCCCCGAAAGGCUUCGCUCAGGCGUGCGGACAGGGAGAGCGAACCGCGGGGCAGUGCCACAGCGCGGCCCUCCGCUGCCCUCCGCUGCCCUCCGCUGCGGCGAGGCGAGGCGAGGGCUGGCCCCCGGCCCCGGCCUCCGCUACGUGCCCCCGGCCCCAGCAGCG